rnacentral:rRNA from 1 species
CGCUGGCGGCAUGCUUUACACAUGCAAGUCGAACGGCAGCACGGGGGCAACCCUGGUGGCGAGUGGCGAACGGGUGAGUAAUGCAUCGGAACGUAUCCUUAAGUGGGGGAUAACGCAUCGAAAGAUGCGCUAAUACCGCAUAAUCUCUAAGGAGAAAAGCAGGGGAUCGCAAGACCUUGCGCUUUUGGAGCGGCCGAUGUCUGAUUAGCUAGUUGGUGAGGUAAAGGCUUACCAAGGCUUCGAUCAGUAGCUGGUCUGAGAGGACGACCAGCCACACUGGGACUGAGACACGGCCCAGACUCCUACGGGAGGCAGCAGUGGGGAAUUUUGGACAAUGGGGGCAACCCUGAUCCAGCCAUGCCGCGUGAGUGAAGAAGGCCUUCGGGUUGUAAAGCUCUUUCAGCCGGAACGAAAAGGUUACGGUUAAUACCCGUGACUAAUGACGGUACCGGAAGAAGAAGCACCGGCUAACUACGUGCCAGCAGCCGCGGUAAUACGUAGGGUGCGAGCGUUAAUCGGAAUUACUGGGCGUAAAGCGUGCGCAGGCGGUUAUGUAAGACAGGUGUGAAAUCCCCGGGCUUAACCUGGGAAUUGCAUUUGUGACUGCAUGGCUAGAGUGUGUCAGAGGGGGGUAGAAUUCCACGUGUAGCAGUGAAAUGCGUAGAGAUGUGGAGGAAUACCGAUGGCGAAGGCAGCCCCCUGGGAUAACACUGACGCUCAUGCACGAAAGCGUGGGGAGCA